rnacentral:rRNA from 1 species
UACGGAGGGUGCAAGCGUUGUCCGGAAUCACUGGGCGUAAAGGGCGCGUAGGCGGCCCGGUAAGUAGGGGGUGAAAUCCUGCGGCUUAACCGCAGGGCUGCCUUCUAAACUGUCGGGCUCGAGCACGGUAGAGGCAGAUGGAAUUCCCGGUGUAGCGGUGGAAUGCGUAGAUAUGACUCGGAAGGCCAACGGCGAAGGCAGGUUACUGGUACGCAACUGACGCUGAGGCACGAAAGCGUGGGGAGCAAACAGG